AACGGAGGGUGCAAGCGUUGUUCGGAAUUACUGGGCGUAAAGCGCGUGCAGGUGGUCUUUUAAGUUCUAUGUGAAAUCCCCCGGCUUAACCGGGGAACUGCAUAGAAUACUGGAGGACUUGAGAUCGGGAGAAGAGGGCGGAAUUCCCAGUGUAGAGGUGAAAUUCGUAGAUAUUGGGAGGAACACCGGCGGCGAAAGCGGCUCUCUAGACCGAUACUGACACUCAUACGCGAGAGCGUGGGUAGCAAACAGG
rnacentral:rRNA from 1 species